UGGGGAAUUUUGGACAAUGGGCGAAAGCCUGAUCCAGCAAUGCCGCGUGUGUGAAGAAGGCCUUCGGGUUGUAAAGCACUUUUGUCCGGAAAGAAAUCCUUGGCUCUAAUACAGUCGGGGGAUGACGGUACCGGAAGAAUAAGCACCGGCUAACUACGUGCCAGCAGCCGCGGUAAUACGUAGGGUGCAAGCGUUAAUCGGAAUUACUGGGCGUAAAGCGUGCGCAGGCGGUUUGCUAAGACCGAUGUGAAAUCCCCGGGCUCAACCUGGGAACUGCAUUGGUGACUGGCAGGCUAGAGUAUGGCAGAGGGGGGUAGAAUUCCACGUGUAGCAGUGAAAUGCGUAGAGAUGUGGAGGAAUACCGAUGGCGAAGGCAGCCCCCUGGGCCAAUACUGACGCUCAUGCACGAAAGCGUCGGGAGCAAACAGGAUUAGAUACCCUGGUAGUCCACGCCCUAAACGAUGUCAACUAGUUGUUGGGGAUUCAUUUCCUUAGUAACGUAGCUAACGCGUGAAGUUGACCGCCUGGGGAGUACGGUCGCAAGAUUAAAACUUAAAGGAAUUGACGGGGUCAUAGCUGUUUCCU
rnacentral:rRNA from 1 species